CCCCUUUCAGCGUCGCCGCUUCAGAACCCUUGUCGAUGCAUUCUUUUUGUGCAUCUCCAAAAUCCAUAUCUAUGUCUCCUAUAUUCUGAAAAAUAAUAAUAUGUAAAAUAUAAACAUUUUGUACUAUCAUAUAUAAGACACAAACAAAGAAGAAUUAGCUAUAUACCUCUUCUCGUGGUGUUUCAGUCUGGUCUGUCAUCGUUGCAUCCAGCCUGGUUACAUCAGUGUGUAUGUCGGAACCCAUCACUCUUUAUCUGCGAUGAAAUAUAAAUGAUAUUUUCUACUGCAUCAUAUAAACAUAUACAAUAUAUAAUAAAAGUAAGAGUGAAACAAACACAGCUGUUUUAUUUUGUAAAAACGAAAAACUGUUUUUCAUAUUAUUAGUCAAAGAUGUUGCAUUUAUUUCGGAGGAAACAACCAACUAUAAUGUGCAUAUAUAAAUAAUAUAUCAUCUGAAAUUUCUUAAAUCAUUUAAAACUAUUUAUAUUUUUUAGUAGAAGAGUUUAAUUUUUUAUGCAGGCUAAGGAAAAUUGUCCGACAAAAGAUAAAAACAUGCAAGCAA
rnacentral:lncRNA from 1 species